AUUGAACGCUGGCGGCAUGAUUUACACAUGCAAGUCGAACGGUAACAGGCCGCAAGGUGCUGACGAGUGGCGAACGGGUGAGUAAUGCAUCGGAACGUGCCCAGUCGUGGGGGAUAACUACUCGAAAGAGUAGCUAAUACCGCAUACGAUCUAUGGAUGAAAGCGGGGGACCGUAAGGCCUCGCGCGAUUGGAUCGGCCGAUGUCAGAUUAGGUAGUUGGUGGGGUAAAGGCUCACCAAGCCAACGAUCUGUAGCUGGUCUGAGAGGACGACCAGCCACACUGGGACUGAGACACGGCCCAGACUCCUACGGGAGGCAGCAGUGGGGAAUUUUGGACAAUGGGCGCAAGCCUGAUCCAGCAAUGCCGCGUGCAGGAAGAAGGCCUUCGGGUUGUAAACUGCUUUUGUACGGAACGAAACGGCUCUGGUUAAUACCCGGGGCUAAUGACGGUACCGUAAGAAUAAGCACCGGCUAACUACGUG
rnacentral:rRNA from 1 species